GCCUUCUUAGCUCAGUGGUAGAGCGCGUCACUAGUAAUGACGAGGUCAGUCGUUCAAAUCGGCUAGGGGGCA
rnacentral:tRNA from 1 species